AUGCCAAAAUGGUCACUAUCUGAGGUCCAACUUGUGUCAUCGGGGCCUGGAACUGUAAAACCAGGUCAAAAUCUCAAUUUACUCUGUAAAGUUACUGGUGUCUCCAUCACUGAUGGUAGCUAUGCUUGGAACUGGGUACGUCAGCCUCCAGGGAACGGCUUAGAAUGGAUAGCUGGAAUCUACAUCUAUCAUGGGCAAAAAUAUUUAGCAUCCUCUCUUCAAAGCGGCAGUACCAUUUCUUCAGACAACUCCAAAAAUGAAUUUUCCCUUCAGUUGAACUCCAUGUCAGCUUCUGACACUGCUGUGUAUUAUUGUGCAAGACAGGGACACACUGACUGA